rfam:Stegodyphus mimosarum contig27190, whole genome shotgun sequence.
GCCUUCGUGGUGUAAUGGUCAGCACACUGAGCCGGGAUUUCAGAGGUCCGUGGUUCGAUUCCCGGCGAAGGCG